UUUUAACCAUGCAUUAAUAUCCAGUUUCAACUGUAAUACUGUAAAUUGUAACAUAUUAUAUAGAUCUGCACACCAUUGAAUCACCACUCAUGGCACAUAUCUAGAAUUCUCUAUAUACGCGUGCAAUGCGGUCAAUUUAUAACUCUAGUCACCAUCCAGGUGUAACGUCUGACGAAGCAUUACAGCGGUGGACUCGACCCGGAGUAACUAGGGUUCUAAUUAAGCAGAUGGUACACACCGCGACGUACAAAUGGACGGAUAAGUGAGGACACAGGCCCGGAGGCCACGUUCAGCCAUGGAUAAUACAUACCUAUACGUGCAGAAGUGUAACUAACAUCAACAAUAAGAGCGAAACUGGAAGACAGGCACUCUCGCAACUUCCAGUUGUACCCCAUCCUGCAGGCAUCUAUACUCUGCAUAGUCAGAUACAUAGGUAUAAACGCUAGGCACACAGGGUGUUCCUGAUCAAACGUAAGUUGUACAUAGGUUUGUGGGUAUAGGUACAGCUGGUUGAGUUUUCGUCAUAGGUACUCUCUUUUGCCCUCCGCACGACAUCGAUCACGGUCCCUGCAAUGUAAAUAAAGCGUGAAAAUAAAGGUAAUUACUCGGUAAAAUCGACCGAAUUUCAUCGUACAGACGAAUUAUAUCGGCGGACGUAAAUUGUACCUACGUGAGAUUGUCAACUCAGCAGUUCAAAGCCAAUAUCUUCGAAUUUCAAGAGGCCUGCAUCUGACUCAAGAAUGACUCGAGCUAAUUAAGUUUAACCUCUCCCUCGUUCUUCUGCAGGAGUCUUCAAUUCCCGUCGGCUAGGAUGAUCGGCGCUGCGCGGUGCCUUUGCAGCUGGUAUAUUCAAGUAGUAGAACUCGGUAACAAGGCAGGCGUGGACUGCAGGAACUGACAGCUCGGCCCUGCAAUUUCAGUAUUAUUAUACACUACCUACUCGCACAUCCAUUAGAGCUGAAAUGUAAUUUGGAAUCAACAUCGUAUCUAGGACACGAACGGCAACAAUGCGUACCGUAUGACUUCGUGUACAUAUUUAUAUUGUAUAAGUAUGCACCUUAUUGUCAAAAUGAUUGAUUAUACUUCAAUAAUGCUCUGCUACGUCUUUUUCUAAGACCAUAGUAUCAGUCGCUCUGACCAUCGAUCAUUGAAUAUAAUAUUUCUUUUACAUAA